ensembl:snRNA U7 U7 small nuclear RNA
AAGUGUUACAGCUCUUUUAGAAUUUGUCUAGCAGGUUUUCUGACUUCGGUCGGAAACCCCCC